rnacentral:rRNA from 1 species
GAUGAACGCUGGCGGCGUGCCUAAUACAUGCGAGUCGAGCGAACAGACGAGGAGCUUGCUCCUCUGACGUUAGCGGCGGACGGGUGAGUAACACGUGGAUAACCUACCUAUAAGACUGGGAUAACUUCGGGAAACCGGAGCUAAUACCGGAUGAUAUAUUGAACCGCAUGGUUCAAUAGUGAAAGACGGUUUUGCUGUCACUUAUAGAUGGAUCCGCGCCGCAUUAGCUAGUUGGUAAGGUAACGGCUUACCAAGGCGACGAUGCGUAGCCGACCUGAGAGGGUGAUCGGCCACACUGGAACUGAGACACGGUCCAGACUCCUACGGGAGGCAGCAGUAGGGAAUCUUCCGCAAUGGGCGAAAGCCUGACGGAGCAACGCCGCGUGAGUGAUGAAGGUCUUCGGAUCGUAAAACUCUGUUAUUAGGGAAGAACAAAUGUGUAAGUAACUAUGCACGUCUUGACGGUACCUAAUCAGAAAGCCACGGCUAACUACGUG